rnacentral:rRNA from 1 species
CCAUCAGCUUGUUGGUGAGGGUAACGGCCCACCAAGGCGACAACGGGUAGCUGGUCUGAGAGGAUGGUCAGCCACACUGGAACUGAGACACGGUCCAGACACCUACGGGUGGCAGCAGUCGAGAAUCAUUCGCAAUGGGGGAAACCCUGACGAUGCGACGCCGCGUGGAGGAUGAAGGCCUUAGGGUUGUAAACUCCUGUCAAGAGGGAAUAAGCAAGUGAAGGUACCUCUAGAGGAAGGGGCGGCUAAUUCCGUGCCAGCAGCCGCGGUAACACGGAAGCCCCGAGCGUUGUUCGGAUUCAUUGGGCGUAAAGGGUGCGUAGGCGGCGCGGAAAGUCCGGCGUGAAAGGCAGGGGCUCAACCUCUGGACUGCGUUGGAUACUUCCGUGCUUGAGGACUGGGAGGGGAGACUGGAAUUCACGGUGUAGCAGUGAAAUGCGUAGAUAUCGUGAGGAAGACCGGUGGCGAAGGCGAGUCUCUGGACAGAUCCUGACGCUGAGGCACGAAGGCUGGGGGAGCGAACAGGAUUAGAUACCCUGGUAGUCCCAGCAGUAAACGAUGUGAGCUUGAUGUGGGGGGAUUCGACCCCUUCCGUGUCGAAGCUAACGCGAUAAGCUCACCGCCUGAGGAGUACGGCCGCAAGGCUAAAACUCAAAGAAAUUGACGGGGACCCGCACAAGCGGUGGAGUAUGUGGCUUAAUUCGAUGCAACGCGAAGAACCUUACCUGGCCUUGACAUGCAUUGUGUCGUCGGUGAAAGCCGGCUAGUCCUGGAAACAGGACGCUUUGCACAGGUGCUGCAUGGCUGUCGUCAGCUCGUGUCGUGAGAUGUUGGGUUAAGUCCCGCAACGAGCGCAACCCUUGUGGUCAGUUACUAACCGGCUUAGCCGGAGGACUCUGGCCAGACUGCCCUGUCAAACGGGGAGGAACGCUGGGGACGACGUCAAGUCAGUAUGGCCCUUAUGGCCAGGGCUGCACACGUACUACAAUGCCCGGUACAAUGUGAACCGAAACCGCGAGGUGGAGGAAAUCGCUCUUGAAAACCGGGCCCAGUUCGG